rnacentral:rRNA from 1 species
GCAGACGGGUGAGUAACACGUAGGUAACCUGCCCUCAAGACGGGGAUAACGCCUGGAAACGGGCGCUAAUACCGGAUGACCUUAGUUGGGGAAGCACCGGCUAAGGAAAGGCAAUAGCGCUUGAGGAGGGGCCUGCGGCCCAUCAGUUAGUUGGUAGGGUAACGGCCUACCAAGGCGAAGACGGGUAGGGGGUGUGAGAGCACGGCCCCCCACACUGGGACUGAGACACGGCCCAGACUCCUACGGGAGGCAGCAGCGGGGAAUAUUGCGCAAUGGACGGAAGUCAGACGCAGCGACGCCGCGUGGGUGAAGAAGGCCUUCGGGUUGUAAAGCCCUUUUCUGUGGGAAGAGGAAGGACGGUACCAUAGGAAUAAGCGUCGGCUAACUACGUGCCAGCAGCCGCGGUAAGACGUAGGACGCGAGCGUUAUCCGGAUUUACUGGGCGUAAAGCGUGUGUAGGCGGCGUGACAAGUUGGGCGUGAAAGCCCCGUGCUCAACGCGGGGAGGCCGCACAAUACUGUCAGGCUAGAGGGCAUCAGAGGGGUGUGGAAUUCCCGGAGUAGCGGUAAAAUGCGCAGAUAUCGGGAGGAACACCGGUGGCGAAAGCGGCACCCUGGGGUGCACCUGACGCUGAGAGACGACAGCUAGGGGAGCGAACAGGAUUAGAGACCCUGGUAGUCCUAGCCGUAAACGAUGGAUGCUAGGUGUGGGAGUGAAGAACUUCUGUGCCGCAGCGAACGCGAUAAGCAUCCCGCCUGGGGAGUACGGCCGCAAGGUUAAAACUCAAACGAAUUGACGGGGACCCGCACAAGCAGCGGAGCGUGUGGUUUAAUUCGAUGCUACACGAAGAACCUUACCUGGGAUUGACAUAUGGGUGGUAGUGAGCCGAAAGGCAAGCGACCCUUCGGGGAGCCUAUACAGGUGCUGCAUGGCUGUCGUCAGCUCGUGCCGUGAGGUGUAGGGUUAAGUCCCGUACCGAGCGCAACUCCUGUCCUUAGUUACAAGUGUCUAAGGGGACUGCCGGCGGGAAGCCGGAGGAAGUUGGGGAUGAGGUCAAGUCAGCAUGGUCCUUAUAUCCA